rnacentral:rRNA from 1 species
AUGAACGCUAGCGGCAGGCCUAAUACAUGCAAGUCGGACGGGAUUGAGGAGCUUGCUUCUCAUGAGAGUGGCGCACGGGUGCGUAACACGUAUGUAACCUACCUUGUUCAGGGGGAUAGCCUCUCGAAAGAGAGAUUAAGACCGCAUAACGUUAUUGAAUGGCAUCAUUUGAUAACCAAAUAUUUAUAGGAACAAGAUGGGCAUGCGGAACAUUAGCUAGUUGGUAAGGUAACGGCUUACCAAGGCUACGAUGUUUAGGGGAUCUGAGAGGAUGACCCCCCACACUGGUACUGAGACACGGACCAGACUCCUACGGGAGGCAGCAGUAAGGAAUAUUGGUCAAUGGGCGGAAGCCUGAACCAGCCAUGCCGCGUGCAGGAAGACGGCCCUACGGGUUGUAAACUGCUUUUAUACGGGAAUAAACCUAYYUAYGWAUAARUAGCUGAAUGUACUGUAAGAAUAAGGAUCGGCUAACUCCGU